rnacentral:lncRNA from 1 species
UUCACCAUUAUUUAAAGUUAGAAAUAAAACAGUCAUGUAACAUUCAUUCAUGUUACAGAUUCAGUGUUAUUAUAAGCAAUAAAUAUUUUAUUGAAGUUGAGGCAACAAGGAAGCACAACACAUUAAGCAGAGGCACGUUUAUAUACUGUAAAGGUGGAAUGUGCAUUUGAAAGUGGCAAGCUCCCAUCAUUGAGUUCACACCCCAGUAGGCAGGCAGUGAAGUCUUUUUAAAAGAUGUAGUUCAGAUCCCCAGUCCUGGGAUGUGAGACUUCUGGAGAUAAACAAAGCUACCCAAAAGCAGAUUUGGUCUGAAUUCAGAGUCUGAUCUCCAGGUCUGAGACGUGGUGCCACCUGUGCAAGAGAUCCCAGCCUCUCCCUUCACUCUAAAAGGCAAGCAGGCACAUGCAUCACGUGGCUUCUUCCACACCUGGACUCAUCACUGCUCUUCCUGGUGCUUGAUUCCUGGGAAAACACCUGCUUAAUUGGAAAAUACCUGCUUGAUUUCAGCACAAAUUACCCAAGAAAGCCAGGCUUGGCUGGAAAUUAUUUGUCUGUGUCAGUAACAAAGGGACAAAUCAUGAAAGUGCAUUGUUUUGCCAAAGGGAAAGGUUUAGGAAAAAAACAUGAACAUUUUGCCCAGGUGUUGGUCCACAGGAACACCCAAGCCUAUUUCUUGCACCAGGAGAACUCACUUGAGCUUCCUAAUGCCCAGAGGGGUCCUUGCAUGCAACCUGCUGGGUUCCUCCUGCAGUUCCAGAGAAAGAUAUUAAAACACAGAUGAUGACCUUAGUGGAGAGCAUCUUUGCUACAUACAAGAUCCAAAGUAGGUAAGUUGUGUAUCAGAGAAUCAUAGAAUAUCAGGUUGGGAGGGACCUCAAGGUUCAUCUGGUCCAGCCCUUCUUAGUAAAAGCAUGGUCUAGGUAAGAUGGCCCUCUGCCCUGUUGAGCUGAAUCUCAGAAGUGUCCAGUGCUGAGGAAUUCAGCUUUCCUGGGGAGAUUAUUCCAAAGGCUUGUCUAGACUGUAACACAUCAGCUCCUCUAGGAGGAGGCUGUGGGAAACUGGAUCAAAAGCCUCUGAGAAAUCUGGAUAAACAAUGUCCACUGCUCACCCCACAUCAACCAAGCAGGUUACUUUAUUGUAGAAGGCAAUCAGGUUUUUCAAGCACAGUUUGCCUGUGGUGAAUCUGUACUGGCUUUUCCCAAUAACAUGUUAUAUCUGACUUGUGAUAGCCCCCAGGAGGAUUCACUCCACAAUUUUCCCAGGGAAUGAAGUAAGAGAGAUGGGCCUAUAAUUUCCUGGGUCCUUCUUAAAGCCUUUCUUGAAGAUGGAGGUGACCUUAACCUUCUUCCAGUCUUCAGGGAUGUCCCUCAAUCUUCAUGAC